UGUAAGCGACCUAUUUGAAGAUUUUUGGGA
rnacentral:piRNA from 1 species